rnacentral:siRNA from 1 species
GGUGUGAUUAACAUUGGAUGAGGA